UACAGAGGUCUCAAGCGUUGUUCGGAUUCAUUGGGCGUAAAGGGUGUGUAGGUGGCGCGCUAAGUCGGGUGUGAAAUUUCGGAGCUUAACUCCGAAACUGCAUUCGAUACUGGCGUGCUUGAGGACUGGAGAGGAGACUGGAAUUCAUGGUGUAGCAGUGAAAUGAGUAGAGAUCAUGAGGAAGACCAGUGGCGAAGGCGGGUCUCUGGACAGUUCCUGACACUGAGACACGAAGGCCAGGGGAGCAAACGGG
rnacentral:rRNA from 1 species